rnacentral:rRNA from 1 species
AUUGAACGCUGGCGGCAGGCCUAACACAUGCAAGUCGAGCGGAUGAAGGGAGCUUGCUCCUGGAUUCAGCGGCGGACGGGUGAGUAAUGCCUAGGAAUCUGCCUGGUAGUGGGGGAUAACGUCCGGAAACGGGCGCUAAUACCGCAUACGUCCUGAGGGAGAAAGUGGGGGAUCUUCGGACCUCACGCUAUCAGAUGAGCCUAGGUCGGAUUAGGUAGUUGGUGGGGUAAAGGCCUACCAAGGCGACGAUCCGUAACUGGUCUGAGAGGAUGAUCAGUCACACUGGAACUGAGACAAGGUCCAGACUCCUACGGGAGGCAGGAGUGGGGAAUUUUGGACAAUGGGCGAAAGCCUGAUCCAGCCAUGCCGCGUGGGGUAAGAAGGGCUUCGGAUUUGAAAGCACUUUAAGGUGGGAGGAAGGGCAGUAAGGUAAUACCUUGCUGUUUUGACGUUACCAACAGAAUAAGCACCGGCUAACUUCGUG